GGCGGGGCUGGGGCUGCGCGCGCCCGGGGCGGGGACCCGCGCCCCUUCUCGGGCUCUCCCUGGCGGCGCAGUGCAGUGCUGGGGCCACGGCCCGGGAGCCCCUAGGUGAGACUUCAGGUCGCUAUCAGCCUUGGAGGAAGGUGUUUCCUGUCCCCUGCCCCUGAGCCCCGGGGGCCCGGACCCCCCCCAGACCGCGGAGUGACGCGUCACCCGAAUCCGGGGUGGGCCUGGCUCUCCCAGCGCUGCCGCUCGCCCUCCGGAGUGUGGGCGCCCUCUCUCCCGAGCCUCACCAGGGCCGGCGUGGCGCUUCUCCAAACACAGCUCUUCCUCUCUUCACAGUCCCUGGGUAUUUAAAGUCACCGUGGUGACCCAUUCCCUGAGCUGGAUUCCUUUCAUUCUCCCGGGAAUGUACUGUGUAGCGACGCCCAGUCGUUCAACACGCCCCGACUGGGUUCGCACCCGGCUCAGGGUCCGCCCCGGGCUACUGCGCGCGCAAACCUCCCAAGACCCCUUCGCCGUCGCACCGCCGGGUUAGUGAGCCCGCGCUGCCAGAAAGAUGCCCGAGGCUGGCCGCAAGUGACGGAUGCAUUCGGGCCCCUGCCAGGGGGUCCAGGUCCUGGAAGAACGCCCGGGAGUUGAAAGGUUCCCCCCCAGGCCAGGGCUUCCUAGCGCCUUUGCAUCCUUCAGGCGCAGGGCCGGGAAUCUUCCUGAGACUGACUGCCUCAGCCCCAACAACUAGACUGAAAACACAUUGUCGGUUUUAGCUGCAGCCUGGGAGUCACUCCAUCAAAAUAACGCGUUUGUGGAGCUACCCUACACUGGUGACUCCUAAAGCCCUAGGAAUCCUCUCGCAGGCCGGUGGAUUAACAGUGUCCUCUCCGUGUGGAUUUGCUCAGUAGAAUUGGAUGGCUCCUUUGCUGAUCUGUCCGCAGCAGAAAAAAGAAAAGAAAAGAAAAGAAAAGAAAAGGAAAGAAAAGAAAAGAAAAGAAAAGAAAAGAAAAGAAAAGAAAAGAAAAGAAAAGAAAAGAAAAGAAAAGAAGGAAGAAAAAAACCUUUAGGAAGGGAACUUGGAAGCUCAUCUGUGACUCUGGAAGGAGACAGCCCCACGUGGCUCCCAUCUGGCAACACAGAGCAGCCGCUGCCAAGCAGGAGUGGAACUGUGUCCAACUUAAGGUGAGAAAGAAUAGGAGAUGGAACCCCGACAC
rnacentral:lncRNA from 1 species